AUGCACCUCCAGUACGCCCCGUUUUCCUCCGCGCCUUCCGCGCCCACCUGACGUGCUCGCUAUGUUUUUUGAGCC
rnacentral:sRNA from 1 species